UUUUACUUAUAUGUAGUUCCAAAGCCAACACCAAUCCUCUCGGCAAGGAGAAAAUUCUUCCUCAUACUUAUACCAGUUUCUGCAAAAUUUUAGGGUGGUUGCCAACCUCAUCUUAUAUCAUAUCCCUAAUAUGCAAUAGCUAUAGAUUUAAGGUAAUACUUGUGGCUGUCAUUUGUGUUGAUUUUAACUAUCACUGGGGGAGUUUCAACUAGUCCUGACAUUCUUAAUUAGGCAUCUUCUUUCUAUCAGGACUUCACGAGUGCUAGUAUAUGUAGCAAGAGCUUGUGGAAAGAUAUCACCCCUCAAACCCAAGUUACACCCCAAUAGAAAGUAGACAUGUGGUAGGGUCUUGAUGUUUCUGUUCAUUUUGAUUUUGACAACAUGAUACCAUGCUCAACCCAUAUACACUCCAAUAUACAAUGGACAUAGGGUAAGGUCUCAAUGUUGUCUUCUGUUGUGAUUUUCACUCAUCCAGCAUGUGAGAAACAUUGUGCUUUAUUUAUCUAUUGCUAAAUUUUGAUUUUCUGCACUUGGUUAGAUUGCAUGUUGCAUUUGAAGUUUGAACUGAUGGCAACUCCUAGUGACUUCUGCAUCUUUCCGGUUGAAAUUAACAGUUCUGAAUGAAAGAGCUUGUAAUUGGGAUCUUGGAUGGCAACUCCUCUUUUGUGAAUAUAAUUUCUGGGUCAUAUCUUUUUAAUGGUAUUGAUUCUCACUAAUAAUUUAAGGCACUUCCAUAAGUUCUGAAGUGCAAAAUUUGGUCGUUUAAUCAUUUUAUUUUGGCUAAAUACGUGGUACACCUUAAACUUUGCACAAUUUGUCAGUUAGACGCUUUAACUUUGCAGUGAUCAUUUUGACACCUUUUCUUGGCAGAAGUGUCUCCUAAUCACCUCAACUUUCAUUUCAUUAUUUCCUUGGAAAAAGCUGAAAAGGAGAGAACUUUAGGCCACAUAAUCUAUGACAUAACCCCAAAGCUAGCAAAAUCAAGAAAUUCCCAAACAAGCAGCACUGUAACUACUAAACUACAGUAAGCAAUCACAUGCAUCUCAGACCUGCACGCACAAAUUAACUAAAAAAUAUAACAAAGCAUCCAAAAACUUCUAGAAUGCUAACAAAAACAACAACAUACCCAGUAAAAUCCCACUAAUUGGGGUCUGGGGAGAGUAGAGUGUACGCAAACCUUAAUCCUACACCGAAAGGGUAGAGGGGCUGUUUCCGGGAGACUCUUGGCUCAACAGAAAAGACAACAAUAUUAGGAAAGGAAACAAAGAAAAGGUCCGUAAAAACAAAAGAUGCCAGAAAGAUAAUAAGAGACUAGGUAAAUAGACAUCCAAGUGCAUCGAUGUGGAGGUUUGAUACUAUGAUGGAAGUGCUUAAGAGACUAGGUAAAUGUAAAAUCACAAGGAAGCAAGUUAUCUCAAAGGCUUUUGAAUAAGGAAAUAGAACAUGGAAGAAAAGGAGCCUUACAAAUAACAAUAAGUUGGGGUAAGGCUUGCUCAUUUUUGUUUCAUUUGGUCUCAUGUUUGCCUGGGAUCAUGUUUCAUGUUAGUUCAGUUUGGUUAGAUAUUUUCAUGUUAGUUUAGGAAUAAGCAUGAGAUUUGAAUAAUCUGGAGCUUUGAAUUUGUUUUAAAAGAUAAAUUAUUGAGUGUUUUGAAAGAAAUGAACCCGAAUAAAGGGGGCAUAUAUAGAGGAUUCAUACAACUGACUUUAACUAAUUGUGAUGAUGCAUAGUAUAUUGGUUGAUCUUGCCGUACAAAUAGCAACGCUGGGGCAAAUCUUUAAAUUUCUGAACCCGGCGGAUCAUAACAGGUAUAUAGUUGAAUAUCUUGAUAUCCACGUCUUCAGGCUACCAGUUGGUUCCUAUUCCACAAAUGUAGAAUGCACAUCCUUUCUUUGCUUGUGCUUAUCAUGAACCCGAAUAGAGGGGGCAUAUAUAGGGGAUUCAUACAACUGACUUUAACUAAUUGUGAUGAUGCAUAGUAUAUUGGUUGAUCUUGCCGUACAAAUAGCAACGCUGGGGCAAAUCUUUAAAUUUCUGAACCCGGCGGAUCAUAACAGGUAUAUAGUUGAAUAUCUUGAUAUCCACGUCUUCAGGCUACCAGUUGGUUCCUAUUCCACAAAUGUAGAAUGCACAUCCUUUCUUUGCUUGUGCUUAUCUUUCUCUUUGUAGUUUGUCUUUACUACAUCGAGUCUUGCUUUCAGAACUAUGUUGUUCUUGUUGUAUAUUGGCCUUAUUUUGCUGAAGAACAC
rnacentral:lncRNA from 1 species